CCUACGGGAGGCAGCAGUGAGGAAUAUUGGUCAAUGGACGAGAGUCUGAACCAGCCAAGUAGCGUGAAGGAUGACUGCUCUAUGGGUUGUAAACUUCUUUUAUAAAGGAAUAAAACGAGGCACGUGUGCCUUUUUGCAUGUACUUUAUGAAUAAGGAUCGGCUAACUCCGUGCCAGCAGCCGCGGUAAUACGGAGGAUUCGAGCGUUAUCCGGAUUUAUUGGGUUUAAAGGGCGCGUAGAUGGGUUGUUAAGUCAGUUGUGAAAGUUUGCGGCUCAACCGUAAAAUUGCAAUUGAUACUGGCAGUCGUGAGUACAGUUGAGGUAAGCGGAAUGCGUGGUGUAGCGGUGAAAUGCUUAGAUAUCACGAAGAACCCCGAUUGCGAAGGCAGCUUACUAAACUGUGACUGACAUUGAUGCUCGAAAGUGUGGGUAUCAAACAGGAUUAGAUACCCUAGUAGUC
rnacentral:rRNA from 1 species